rnacentral:rRNA from 1 species
GACAGAGGGUGCAAACGUUGUUCGGAAUUACUGGGCGUAAAGCGUGUGUAGGCGGCCAUGUAAGUCAGGUGUGAAAGCCCCGGGCUUAACCCGGGAAGUGCACUUGAAACUGCGUGGCUUGAGUAUCGGAGAGGUUGGUGGAAUUCUCGGUGUAGAGGUGAAAUGCGUAGAUAUCUGGAGGAACACCGGUGGCGAAGGCGGCAUCCUGGACCAAUUCUGACGCUGAGGAGCGAAAGCCAGGGGAGCAAACGGG